rnacentral:rRNA from 1 species
GACGAACGCUGGCGGCGUGCUUAACACAUGCAAGUCGAACGGAAAGGCCCUGCUUUUGUGGGGUGCUCGAGUGGCGAACGGGUGAGUAACACGUGAGUAACCUGCCCUUGACUUUGGGAUGACUUCAGGAAACUGGGGCUAAUACCGGAUAGGAGCUCCUGCUGCAUGGUGGGGGUUGGAAAGUUUCGGCGGUUGGGGAUGGACUCGCGGCUUAUCAGCUUGUUGGUGGGGUAGUGGCUUACCAAGGCUUUGACGGGUAGCCGGCCUGGGAGGGUGACCGGCCACAUUGGGACUGAGAGACGGCCCAGACUCCUACGGGAGGCAGCAGUGGGGAAUAUUGCACAAUGGGCGGAAGCCUGAUGCAGCAACGCCGCGUGCGGGAUGACGGCCUUCGGGUUGUAAACCGCUUUCGCCUGUGACGAAGCGUGAGUGACGGUAAUGGGUAAAGAAGCACCGGCUAACUACGUG